GAACAAUAUUAACGUUUAUUUUGAUUACCAAUUUCUUUCUCACAUACUGCCUUCGUAACUCUAAACCUAGCCGAUUCAUUUCUAGCAAUAACCGCCCCAUCCAUCGUCCUCACCGCCCCCAUCUAGCGAGCGCUGCCGAGUAGCAACGCCCCCAUAGCCGGCGCCCUCGCAUAGCGGCCAACCGCAGCUGGCCAGACAGUCAGCGCCCUCACCUGACAGCCUCGCUCUAGCCUUCAGCCCACGCUCGUCGCGCCCCCACAGCCAGCGCCCUUGCCCCGGCCAUCUUUGUCUAGCCUCCAGCCCACGCCCGCCGCUCGUCGCCUGCGCCAUGGUGCCAGCUAGCCGCUGCCUAGCCCAGCCCUAGUAGGCACCAGUCGCACUGCCCUAGGCCCCACACAUCUGCCCUGUGAGCGCAGGAGGUUUCUGUGCGUUUUUUGGGAGAGGACUGAAUCAAUAAUUGGUUCUUUAUCUCUUGUACUUCGUUGGGAUUCUUUACUCUUGUAGAAUUUAUAAUUAUGUCUCAUAUAGAUUAUAUAUUUGCUGGAAUCAAAGUUAACUUGAUGUUUUAUUGAGGCAGGGCCAACAUGAUCCGAAGAUGAUGAUACAAGUUCCACACUGACAGUGGAAACAUUUAGCUUCUAAGAGCUCUCUGCUACAACUAAUAAUUUCAGUAAGACUCUCAGGAUAGGCUCUCGGGGCCAAGGCACAGUCUAUGAAGGCCACUUACCCCGCAUUGUAUAGGUCAAUUUCUGCUAUGUGUCAUAGUAAUACAUACAUCUUAAAACUUGUCGUUGUGUCACCAUUGAGCUAAUUGUGGAUAUUUGAUUCUGUACUUAGAAUAUGCUACAUGUCUUUUAUGGUUACUAUUAUAAUUUUCGUAUUAUAAUAGUUCACUAUUUGUUCAGCCAAGUUGUUGUCAAGCUGUUACUACUAUAACAUCUUUUAUUAGGAAGCUCCAGUCGAGUGGCCUCGUCCAUUGUGUAGCUUUGUUUAUGGAAAACAAAUAGUUCAUUUUUUGGUCUGCUAUGUUUUUCAACUGAACUGGAGGGCAACAUAUAGAGGUAAUUCCACAAUUAUAAACCACUUGAACUUUCAUCGUCGGUACUGCUUUAUUUAUUAUUUUGUAGAGUGCACUUGUCUGGCCAAUUUGGAUCUUUUAGAUAUCGUGGCUAAAUGUAGUUCAGGCUCAUUAAAAUUGAACUUUAUUUGUUUGCUUAGGAAAAAUGCAGGUCUAGGAAUAAAACUGCAACUCCGUUAGGGUUAUGUGUUAGGGUUAUGUUUGUUUGUGAACAUGUGUAUGUAGUAUAUCCAUAAAAAGAAAGUAGUUUAGCAUCUUUGGCGUAAGAGUGUGUUGCUGAUUGUGUGUGUGAAAGCAAUCUUUUAUCAUUUUAAUCAUGGUUGCUUUUGAAAGUUUUGAGUAUAUGCCACAUGCAUAUGUUCUAAUUUUGUUAUUUACUAUUGUUUACAUUCCAAAUUAUAAGUUGUUUUGGCUAUUCUAGGUUCAUAGUUUUUCUAUGCACCUAAAUAUAAACUAUGUCUAGAUACGUAGCAGUCUUGAAAGUCAAAACAACUUAUAAUUAGGAACAGAUGGAGUAAGUUCUAAUGCUCAAGUGGUUAGAUAUCUGCAUCACUGGAAAUUCAAUGAAAAUAUCCUCGUCAUGCUACUAACGGUGUUAUGUGACGAUGAAGUCUGGAGUAUCUCACUCGUUCUUACUAAUUGAGAUUUGAUAUUUUAAGGUUUUCUAGUUCUCUGUCUUGUUAGAUUAAAACUAUGUCAAUUUUAGCUUAGAUCUAAUGCCAUGUUUUUUUUAUUUUUACCCUCUGACAGGCAGGUUGUUGCAUGUCAUUCACAUUGAUUAAAGAAUAGCUCAAGAAAAAAGACCUAAACUAAAAUGCCAAGAUCUUUAGUUGUUGGGUUUAUAUGUUUGUUGCGAUGAAAGUGAUUAUUAUGUUGUUUCUUUUGAUAUUACAGUUGGGAUCCACUGUGAUUAGGUUGAAGACAAAGGAUGGUGUCGUCCUCGCUAUUGAGAAACUUGUGACCUCACCACUACUGCAUUUGUGGCUGAGGCUAGAAUAGAAGGGAAGAAUCUAAGACCUCUAUUGAAGCAGAUUGUAUAGAAGGGAAGAGUCUUCAAGAUAUUGGUCUUGUAGUUGCAACAAAGAGAAGAGACAAUGGUGGUGAUGCUAUAUCUAUAGAAGUAGCAACGUUGGUAUUGUAGCUCCAAGAUUUGGUUGUUGAUGAAUGAUAUAUAUGAUAAUACAUUGUUAAGUAUAUGUGAUAAUCAUUGAUUGUUAUUUAAUUAUAUUGGGUUGU